rnacentral:rRNA from 1 species
GUUGCCGGUUAUGGGCGUGUGGUGGAUGCCUUGGCGGACAGGACCGAUGAAGGACGCGUGGGGCCGCGAUAGGCCUCGGGGAGCCGCCGACAGGGCUUUGAUCCGAGGGUUUCCGAAUGGGGCAACCCGCCGGCCGUUAUGGGCCGGCACCACCUUUGGGUGGGGGGUACGCAGGGAAGUGAAACAUCUCAGUACCUGCAGGAGGAGAUAUUCCGUGAGUAGUGGCGAGCGAAAGCGGAUGACGACCAAACCCCGCGCGCGUGAUACCCGUCGGGGGUUGCGUGUGGGGUGUUGCGGGAGGCCGCUUUCCCGGUUCCGACGGGCCGGGCGUCAGUGACAAAGCCGUGUGCGAGGGGAACCGGAUUGGAUUCCGGGCCGUAGAGGGUGAUGGCCCCGUACCCGUAGGCGCAUGGUCUGGCGUGUGGUGUUCCCAAGUAGCGCGGGACUCGUGGAAUCCCGUGUGAAUCGGCCCGGACCGCCGGGUAAGUCUGAAUAUUCCUGUCCGACCGAUAGCGUACUAGUACCGUGAGGGAAAGGUGAAAAGCACCCCGGGAGGGGAGUGAAAGAGUUCCUGAAACCGUGCGCCUGCAAACCGUCGGAGCCUCUUUGAUGGGGUGACGGCGUGCCUAUCGAAAAAUGAGUCUGCGAGUCAGUGAUGGGUGGCGAGCGUAAGCCGUGUGGUGUACGCGUAGCGAAAGCGAGUCCGAAGAGGGCGUUUUUGAGUCGCUUGUCCUGGACCCGAAGCGGGAUGAUCUAGCCCUGGGCAGGUUGAAGCGCGGGUAAGACCGUGUGGAGGACCGGACCCACCUGGGUUGAAAACCGGGGGGAUGACCUGGGGCUGGGGGUGAAAGGCCAAUCAAAUUCCGUGAUAGCUGGUUCUCUCCGAAAUGCAUUUCGGUGCAGCGUCGUGUGAUUGCAUCCGGGGGGUAGAGCUACUGGAUGCUUGAGGGCCCGUAUGGGGUACCGACAGCAGCCAAACUCCGAAUACCCGUGAUGUGUAUCAUGGCAGUGAGUCGGCGGGGGAUAAGCUCCGUCGUCGAAAGGGAAACAGCCCAGACCGUCGUCUAAGGUCCCUCAGCGCGUGCUAAGUGGGAAAGGAUGUGGGGUCGCAUAGACAGCCAGGAGGUUGGCUCAGAAGCAGCCAUCCUUGAAAGAGUGCGUAACAGCUCACUGGUCUAGUGGUCCCGCGCCGACAAUGUAGCGGGGCUCAAGCACGCCACCGAAGACGCGGCAGCAAUGUUUUGUUGUUGGGUAGGAGAGCGUCCCCACGGGGUCGAAGCGCAUGGCGUGAGCCGUCGUGGACUUGUGGGGAGUGAGAAUGCAGACAUGAGUAGCGAGAGCGGGGUGAGGAUCCCCGCCGCUGGAUGACCAAGGGUUCCGGGGCCACGUUCGUCGUCCCCGGGUGAGUCGGGUCCUAAGGCGAGGCCGACAGGCGUAGUCGAAUGGAUGAACGGGUUGAUAUUCCCGUACCGGCUUCUGGCCGUUCGAGCGCGUGGAGUGACGCAGUGGGGUAGCCGGCCGCGGAGGUGGUUUUCCGUGGCCAAGCGUGUGGCCCGCAUCCCAGGCAAAUCCGGGGUGCAUAUGGGGUGAGGCGCGAUGGUGGGGGUCUUGUGGCCCGAAUCCGGUGAUCCCGUGCUGCCGAGAAAAGCUUCGGCGCGAGGCUGGUGGCCGCCCGUACCCGAAACCGACACUGGUGGUCUGGUAGAGUAUACCGAAGCGAGCGAGCGAAUCCUGGUCAAGGAACUCGGCAAAUUGCUCCCGUGCCUUCGGCAUAAGGGAGGCCCCCCGGGGUGAAGGGCUUCGCGCCCGGAGCGUUGGGGGGUGGCACAGGCCAGGGGGUAGCGACUGUUUACCAAAAACACAGGUGCAUGCGAAGGCGCAAGCCGCUGUAUAUGCACUGACGCCUGCCCGGUGCCGGAAGGUUAAGAGGAUCCGUCAGCCCUUUGGGGUGAAGCGGUGAAUUCAAGCCCCGGUAAACGGCGGUGGUAACUAUAACCAUCCUAAGGUAGCGAAAUUCCUUGUCGGGUAAGUUCCGACCUGCACGAAUGGCGUAACGACUUCCCCACUGUCUCGACCAGGAGCUCGGCGAAAUUGCAGUACGAGUAAAGAUGCUCGUUAAGCGCAGAAGGACGAAAAGACCCCGGGACCUUUACUAUACCUUGGUAUUGUCGUUAGGUGUGGAUUGUGUAGCAUAGGCGGGAGACGUUGAGGCCGUGGCGCCAGCCAUGGUGGAGUCGUAAGGUGAAAUACCGUUCUGUUCAUAUCUGGCGUCUAACCUCGGCACGUGAUCCGUGCCAGGGACAGUGCCUGGCGGGUAGUUUAACUGGGGCGGUUGCCUCCCAAAGAGUAACGGAGGCGCCCAAAGGUUCCCUCGGCCCGGUUGGCAAUCGGGUGUUGAGUGUAAUCGCACAAGGGAGCUUGACUGCGAGGGCGACGGCCCGAGCAGGGACGAAAGUCGGGGAUAGUGAUCCGGUGCCGGCGCGCGGGCGCGGCAUCGCUCAACGGAUAAAAGGUACCCCGGGGAUAACAGGCUGAUCAUUCCCAAGAGUCCAUAUCGACGGGAUGGUUUGGCACCUCGAUGUCGGCUCGUCGCAUCCUGGGGCUGGAGCAGGUCCCAAGGGUUCGGCUGUUCGCCGAUUAAAGCGGCACGCGAGCUGGGUUCAGAACGUCGUGAGACAGUUUGGUCUCUAUCCUCUGCGCUCGUUGGAAUCUUGAGGAGUCCUGCCCAUAGUACGAGAGGACCUGGGUGGACGGACCUCUGGUUUGCCGGUUGUCGCGCCAGUGGCAUGGCCGGUUGGCUACGUUCGGAAGGGAUAACCGCUGAAAGCAUCUAAGCGGGAAGCCUUCUCCAAGAUGAGGAUUCCUUGACAC